UAGCAUAUCAAUAAGCGGAGGAAAAGAAACCAACAGGGAUUGCCUUAGUAACGGCGAGUGAAGCGGCAACAGCUCAAAUUUGAAAGCUGGCUCCUUCGGAGUCCGCGUUGUAAUUUGUAGAGGAUGAUUCGGCGAGGGCUCCCGCCUAAGUCCCCUGGAACGGGGCGUCAUAGAGGGUGAGAAUCCCGUAUGCGGUGGGUUGCCUUAGCCAUGUGAAUCUCCUUCGACGAGUCGAGUUGUUUGGGAAUGCAGCUCUAAAUGGGAGGUAAAUUUCUUCUAAAGCUAAAUACCGGCCAGAGACCGAUAGCGCACAAGUAGAGUGAUCGAAAGAUGAAAAGCACUUUGGAAAGAGAGUUAAAAAGUACGUGAAAUUGUUGAAAGGGAAGCGCUUGCAGCCAGACUUGUCCGCAGUUGCUCAACCGGUCUCCUGACCGGUGUACUCUUCUGCGGCCAGGCCAGCAUCAGUUCGGGCGGUCGGAUAAAGGCCCUGGGAAUGUAGCUCCUCUCGGGGAGUGUUAUAGCCCAGGGUGGAAUGCGGCCAGCCUGGACUGAGGAUCUCGCUUCGGCUAGGAUGCUGGCGUAAUGGCUGUAAGCGGCCCGUCUUGAAACACGGACCAAGGAGUCUAACAUCUAUGCGAGUGUUUGGGUGUCAAACCCAUGCGCGUAAUGAAAGUGAACGGAGGUGGGAACCCUCACGGGUGCACCAUCGACCGAUCCUGAUGUCUUCGGAUGGAUUUGAGUAAGAGCAUAGCUGUUGGGACCCGAAAGAUGGUGAACUAUGCCUGAAUAGGGUGAAGCCAGAGGAAACUCUGGUGGAGGCUCGCAGCGGUUCUGACGUGCAAAUCGAUCGUCAAAUUUGGGUAUAGGGGCGAAAGACUAAUCGAACCAUCUAGUAGCUGGUUCCUGCGAU
rnacentral:rRNA from 1 species